AAGCCCUUUCGGGGUACCCAAGCGGCGAAACGGGUAAUUAACACGUGGGUGAUCUGCCCUGCACUUCGGAAUAAGCCUGGGAAACUGGGUCUAAUACCGGAAUAUGCCCUCCUAUCGCAUGGUGGGUGGUGGAAAGAUUUAUCGGUGCAGGAUGGGCCCGCGGCCUAUCAGCUUGUUGGUGGGGUAAUGGCCUACCAAGGCGACGACGGGUAGCCGACCUGAGAGGGUGACCGGCCACACUGGGACUGAGACACGGCCCAGACUCCUACGGGAGGCAGCAGUGGGGAAUAUUGCACAAUGGGCGAAAGCCUGAUGCAGCGACGCCGCGUGAGGGAUGACGGCCUUCGGGUUGUAAACCUCUUUCAGCAGGGACGAAGCGCAAGUGACGGUACCUGCAGAAGAAGCACCGGCUAACUACGUGCCAGCAGCCGCGGUAAUACGUAGGGUGCAAGCGUUGUCCGGAAUUACUGGGCGUAAAGAGUUCGUAGGCGGUUUGUCGCGUCGUUUGUGAAAACCAGCAGCUCAACUGCUGGCUUGCAGGCGAUACGGGCAGACUUGAGUACUGCAGGGGAGACUGGAAUUCCUGGUGUAGCGGUGAAAUGCGCAGAUAUCAGGAGGAACACCGGUGGCGAAGGCGGGUCUCUGGGCAGUAACUGACGCUGAGGAACGAAAGCGUGGGUAGCGAACAGGAUUAGAUACCCUGGUAGUCCACGCCGUAAACGGUGGGCGCUAGGUGUGGGUUCCUUCCACGGAAUCCGUGCCGUAGCUAACGCAUUAAGCGCCCCGCCUGGGCAGAACGACCGGCAAUCUAA
rnacentral:rRNA from 1 species